rnacentral:rRNA from 1 species
UACGUAGGGACCUAGCGUUGUCCGGAAUCAUUGGGCGUAAAGCGCGCGUAGGCGGCCCGGUAAGUCCGUUGUAAAAGUCAAAGGCUCAACCUUUGAAAGCCGAUGGAUACUGCCGGGCUAGAGUCCGGAAGAGGCGAGUAGAAUUCCUGGUGUAGCGGUGGAAUGCGCAGAUAUCAGGAGGAAUACCCAUAGCGAAGGCAGCUCGCUGGGACGGUACUGACGCUGAGGCGCGAAAGCGUGGGGAGCGAACAGG